rnacentral:RNase_P_RNA from 1 species
AAGGCAGGCCAGGCCAUCGCCGCGCGGGGUUUCAAAGCUCCGCGGGGAGGAAAGUCCGGGCUCCGCAGGGCAGGACGCUGGGUAACUCCCAGGGGGAGAAAUCCCCGGAAAGCGCCACAGAAAGUAAACCGCCCCGCGCGCGCUGGGGCGCCUUCGGCAACGGAGGCGCCGGUUGCGGCGGGGUAAGGGUGAAACGGUGGGGCAAGAGCCCACCAGUUGCCGCGGCGACGCGGCAAGCUCGGCAAGCCCCGUCCGGAGCAAGACCAAAUAGGGAAGCGUCUGAAGCCGGCCCGGCUGAGCUUCCGGGGCGGUUGCUGGAGGCCGCGGGCACUCGCGGUCCUAGCGGACUGAUGGCCGUCCCGCGCUUCAGCGGGAAACAGAACCCGGCUUACCGGCCUGCCUUUGCC